rfam:Triticum aestivum genome assembly, contig: Triticum_aestivum_CS42_TGACv1_scaffold_577345_7BL
UUGUAGAUUACUGGGCCAUUUCUCCUUGGGCAGACCGUGAUUGGGCUUCGCUUCGUUCUAGCUGUCUUAUUUCGUUCUGCCAAAGGAGAUUUGCCCAGCAAUCCACAU